rnacentral:sRNA from 1 species
UUUCACGGGGAGGGCAACACAUUUUGUUACUUUGGUCUAAACACAAUAAUCAACUGUGUCCUUCCUCAAACUCAAAUGUUACUGACACAAACUUCUCAGGAGUCUCGGGAGUCAGGGAGGGGCUGCAAGUGGGGAUAAAGUGGGAGGACUCCUGUCUCCUGUAGAAGAGGUGCCGCACAGCUUUUACUAGCCUGCUGACUCACCUUUGCAAUGCAAACAACCCUCACCACCCCAUGCACCACCGCCUGGAACUUCUAAGAAGGAUGUCAUCAGGCCCCAGUACUGUGGCGGUGGACUUCUGGUCCGGAGAACUGUGGGAAAUGAGUUUCUAUUUUUAGCACCUGUCCUCUUCUGUUAUAGCAACAGAGACCAACCGAAACAGAGUUUCAACUAACGACCUUAUCUUCAAACUGGAAACAGAGUUUCAACAAACGACCGUGUCUUCAAACUGGAGGAAACAUGAACAGUAUAUGCUUUCCAGAGAUGUUGCUGUCAUCAAAAAUGGAGAAAGGAGAAAGAGAAGGACCUACUCCAGGCUGAAUGGGGCCAAGGAGGUGUGACAACUAAGUGUGCAUCGCUCCUAGAUCUGAGAGGCUUGUCCAUUUUAUGGCUGCUGAGAACUGACUGAUGACGCUCCCUUCCCUGUAGAUGCAUUAGACUCUCGUCAGAAAGGGUGCUGACUGGAGGGGCACCUCACCACGCAUGUCCUACGUCGUAAUUCUCAAUAGCUGCAGCCCCAGCCCCGCUCACUGCUUUCCGUAGUGUGGCCAUUCUGACUCUGUAGCUCCAGCGUAGGAAACAAAGUCUUGUCUGUGCAUGAAUCCAGCUGAACACAUCUGGUCCAUGUUGGUCAACUUGAAUAAAAGCCCUAGGCCUGCA